CUUGGCCCCGUAAUUGCUGCUUGCAGCUAUAUUUAUUAGGGGCCAAGCACCGAAGGUGCGUAGGCACCUAUUGAAAUCGUUGGCGUUAUUAGGGGCCAAGCACCGAAGGUGCGUAGGCACCUAUUGAAAUCGUUGGCGUUAUUAUUAUUAGGGGCCAAGCACCGAAGGUGCGUAGGCACCUAUUGUAUCCGUGGGCGUUAUUUUCUUCUUCUUCUUCUUCUUCUUCUUCUUCUUCUUCUUCCGCCGCAAGUCUAUGGCAGCCCAUAGAACCGAUUGCGGGAAAGUUGUAUAAUUUGGCACACUGAUAGAGGACAGUCCCAGCAUUAACUAUAGCAAAUUUGAAGUCUCUAACUCCAACUCUCUAGCGCCA
ensembl:lncRNA